rnacentral:tRNA from 1 species
UACAUACUUGCCUAAUUGGUAAAGGCGCUUGACUCAUAAUCAAGUUAACUCCUUAACUGGAGUUUUGCGGGUUCAAAUCCCGUGUGUGAACCA